rnacentral:rRNA from 1 species
GACGAACCGAGCGAACGUUGUUCGGAAUCACUGGGCUUAAAGGGCGCGUAGGCGGGCCGUCAAGUCAGGGGUGAAAGCCUCCAGCUCAACUGGAGAAGUGCCUCUGAUACUGGCGGCCUCGAGGGAGGUAGGGGCGUGCGGAACUUCCGGUGGAGCGGUGAAAUGCGUAGAUAUCUGGAGGAACACCGGUGGCGAAGGCGGCAUCCUGGACCAACACUGACACUGAUGAGCGAAAGCCAGGGGAGCAAACGGG